rnacentral:rRNA from 1 species
AGCUUGACUUCGCAUAUCGG